GAACUUUCAUUCCGAGUUGUCAAAUGAUAGGGUAACGCCUUGAAGGGCACCUCUAAUAUUCCGACAUGCGGUUAGAUUGGCAAGAGUCUAACGGUUUGAAGCUCGGAGAAGUCGGCUGAGAGCUACCGUAAGUUAAAAUACACGAAAGCUGUCCAGAGGUGGAUGGUGUAGCAUAUAGGCCGGGGGUCUACAAA
rnacentral:ncRNA from 1 species